GACUUCGUGGUGUAGUGUUCAGCACACUCGACGCUUAACCGAGAGAUCUGUGGUUCGAUUCCCGGCGAGGGCA
rnacentral:tRNA from 1 species